rnacentral:snoRNA from 1 species
CAGGCCAGUGAUGGGAGUAUGACGGGAACCGGGGAUUAUGAUUAAUGCAAUUUUGUGCACCUGCGGCCCUUU